rnacentral:miRNA from 1 species
CUAAGUAAUUAUAUGAUGAA